GAAUCCGCUAAGGAGUGUGUAACAACUCACCUGCCGAAUGAAUUAGCCCUGAAAAUGGAUGGCGCUGAAGCGGGCAGCCGACACCGCGCCGUUCCGGCGAGACGAUGCCGGGAUGAGUAGGAGGGCGUGGCGGUCAGUGAAGCAGGCGAGGGUGCAAACCCCGCUGAAACGGCCGCUAGUGAAGAUCUUGGUGGUAGUAGCAAAUAUUCAAGCGAGAUCCUUGAAGGGCGAAGCGGGGAAGGGUUCCACGCCAACAUUGAUUGGGCGUGGGUGAGUCGUCCCUAAGCCGAGUGGCAAUUGCUAAGUAGCGGCGAAAGGGAAGCGGGUUAAAAUUCCCGCACACAGAUAUGGAGGCGGCGACGCAAGCAGAGGCGAAUACGCUGGCGAGGGCGCCGGGCAGAGUUGUCUUUUCUGUUUGACCGGCAUCGAGCUGUGUGGAAUCCGCUUAUCGGGAGAAACACGCUCGGGUAGGGGCAGAGCGUCAGGUCUUUUCUGGCGUCCGGCUCGCCCUCGACGGCCCUUGAAAAUUCGUCUGCGACUGCAAAUUUCAUGCUGUGACGUACCGAUAACCGCAUCAGGUCCCCAAGGUGAACAGCCUCUGCUCAAUAUGAACAAUGCAGGUAAGGGAAGUCGGCA
rnacentral:rRNA from 1 species